rnacentral:rRNA from 1 species
CCAGAUCUACAGCUAAGGUCCCAAAUGAACACUAAGUGGAAAAUGAUGUGAAACUGCGAAGACAACCAGGAUGUUGGCUUAGAAGCAGCCACUCAUUCAAAGAGUGCGUAAUAGCUCACUGGUCGAGUGGUUUUGCGCAGAAAAUGUAACGGGGCUAAGUGUUCAACCGAAGCUUAGGCAUUGCAGUAAUGCAUUGGGUAGGGGAGCGUCGUAUGCGGGGCGAAGUCAGAGCGGAAGCACUGGUGGACUGCAUACGAGUGAGAAUGCCGGAAUAAGUAGCGAGAAUUAUGUGAGAAUCAUAAUGGCCGAAAAUCUAAGGUUUCCUGGGGAAGGUUCGUCCGCCCAGGGUUAGUCGGGAGCUAAGCUCAGGCCGAAAGGCGUAGGCGAUGCACAUACGGUAGAAAUUCCGUAACCACCGAACUUUAAGCUAGAGGGACGCUUUCUUUAAGGUUAUCCCGGGCGAUGGUUGCCCCGGGCGUAAGGGACCGAAAUUUAGUAGGGAAGUAACUGGCGAGAGAGACGAGAAAAGCUCUAGUGUAUACUAAGGUGCCCGUACCGCAAACCGACACAGGUAGAAGGGAUGAGUAUUCUAAGGCCAACGGGAGAAGGGUUGUUAAGGAACUCGGCAAAUUGGCCCCGUAACUUCGGGAUAAGGGGCGCCUGCGAGAGCAGGCCGCAGUGAAAAGGCCCAAGCGACUGUUUAGCAAAAACACAGCUCUCUGCUAAAUCGAAAGAUGACGUAUAGGGGGUGACGCCUGCCCGGUGCUGGAAGGUUAAGGGGAGUGCUUAGCGCAAGCGAAGGUGCGAACUUAAGCCCCAGUAAACGGCGGCCGUAACUAUAACGGUCCUAAGGUAGCGAAAUUCCUUGUCAGGUAAGUUCUGACCCGCACGAAUGGCGUAACGAUUUGGGCACUGUCUCAACAGCCCGCCCGGCGAAAUUGUAGUACCGGUGAAGAUGCCGGUUUCCCGCAACUAGACGGAAAGACCCCAUGGAGCUUCACUGUAGCUUGAUAUUGGACUUCGGUAUUCCAUGUACAGGAUAGGUGGGAGGCUUGGAAGUGAGUGCGCCAGCAUUCAUGGAGCCAUCCUUGGGAUACCACUCUUGGGAUAUUGGAGUUCUAACCUGCGACCAUGAAUCUGGUCGGGGGACAUUGUCAGGUGGGCAGUUUGACUGGGGCGGUCGCCUCCAAAAGAGUAACGGAGGCGCUCAAAGGUUCGUUCAGCACGGACGGAAAUCGUGCACUGAGUGUAAACGCAUAAACGAGCCUAACUGCGAGAAUGACGGUUCGAGCAGUAACGAAAGUUGGAGUUAGUGAUCCGGCGGUAUGUGAAUGGAAAUGCCGUCGCUCAACGGAUAAAAGCUACCCUGGGGAUAACAGGCUGAUCUCCCCCAAGAGUCCACAUCGACGGGGAGGUUUGGCACCUCGAUGUCGGCUCAUCGCAUCCUGGGGCUGAAUUCGGUCCCAAGGGUUUGGCUGUUCGCCAAUUAAAGCGGUACGCGAGCUGGGUUCAGAACGUCGUGAGACAGUUCGGUCCCUAUCUGUUGCGGGCGCAGGAAUAUUGAGAGGAGCUGUCCUUAGUACGAGAGGACCGGGAUGGACGUACCGCUGGUGCACCAGUUGUUCUGCCAAGGGCAUAGCUGGGUAGCUAAGUACGGACGAGAUAAACGCUGAAGGCAUCUAAGCGUGAAACUCCCCUCGAGAUAAGUGUUCCCAUCCUUCGGGAGUAAGGCCCCUUGUAGACUACAAGGUUGAUAGGUCAGGAGUGGAAGUGCAGUAAUGUAUGGAGCGGACUGAUACUAAUAGGCCGAGGGCUUGACCUA